ACAAACUUGGUCAUUUAGAGGAAGUAAAAGUCGUAACAAGGUCUCCGUAGGUGAACCUGCGGAGGGAUCAUUACCGAGCUCAUACCCUAUGGGUAGAACUCCCACCCGCUGCUAUCUCUACCAUCGUUGCCUCGGCGGGCCUGCUAGGCCCGGCCCGGCCGCCGGCUCCGGCCGGCGUGUGCCCGCCAGAGGCCCCCCAAACUCCGUGUAUUAGUGUCGUCUGAGGGCUAUACAAUAGUUAAAACUUUCAACAACGGAUCUCUUGGUUCUAGCAUCGAUGAAGAACGCAGC
rnacentral:misc_RNA from 1 species